GUUUUGGUAUGACAGUGUCUCUCUGGAUUGACCUUGGAGUCGGGUUGUUUGGGAAUGCAGCCCUAAGCGGGUGGUAAACUCCAUCCAAGGCUAAAUACAAGCACGAGUCCGAUAGCGAACAAGUACCGUGAGGGAAAGUUGAAAAGUACUUUGAAGAGAGAGUAAACAGUGCGUGAAACCGCUUAGAGGUAAACGGGUGGAGUUGAACUGGAAUCUCUGAGAAUUCAGCUGGCGAAUAUUAUUUGAGCUUGGUCAAUUGGCAGGGCCCUGGGGUAUGCUUAUGUGCAUGUUCUGACCUUCGGGUUAGGAUGCGCGUUGCUCUUAUCAAGGGCUGCGCGCCUCGGGUGUUCGGCUGGCCAGGUCACCGGUGCACUUUCUCGGAGUGAUCACCACGACCGGCGUGCUGCUUGACUGUUCUAGUUAAAUCGAACGUUCAUCGUCCUUGUGGCGUUGGGUGGUCGACACGGCAGGUAACUGGGGGCUGGUUUCGGCUGGUUUCUCGGUGUAUGCUGGCUUUAACGGUUCUGUGCGGUGUGUCGGAGACGGCGGCUAGUAGUGUGUGCGUGCGUAGCUACCGUUUGGCAUAUUCUGGUUUGGUGACUGUGUGCUUGUUCAAGCAGGCCCAGUUAUGGCCGGGGUGUGUCGAAUGGUGGUUGCGUGUGUGGCACUUUUCUGGGCCAACAGUCUGUGGUGUUGUGGUAGACUAUCCACCUGACCCGUCUUGAAACACGGACCAAGGAGAGUAACAUGUGCGCGAGUCAUUGGGCGUAACGAAACCCACMGGCGUAGUGAAAGUAAAGGUCUGGCUUGUCCAGUSUAAGGUGAGAUCCUGUCGUUGUCWUGCGUGGUAUCACCAAGCUUGGAGCGAUAGGCGCAUCACCG
rnacentral:rRNA from 1 species